GACGAACCGAGCGAACGUUGUUCGGAAUCACUGGGCUUAAAGGGCGCGUAGGCGGGUGCUCAAGUCCGGGGUGAAAUCCUCCAGCUCAACUGGAGAACUGCCUCGGAUACUGGGUGUCUCGAGUAUGGUAGGGGUAUGCGGAACUAUCGGUGGAGCGGUGAAAUGCGUUGAUAUCGAUAGGAACUCCGGUGGCGAAGGCGGCAUACUGGACCACUACUGACGCUGAUGCGCGAAAGCCAGGGGAGCAAACGGG
rnacentral:rRNA from 1 species